ACCGGGAGCUUCAUGUGGAUGAUCCACAGAGGCCAGACAUACUGUGUGAUUGUAUUGCAAUGAUUAAACUUUUUCGACGGUGAUCAGACUAUAGCGAUCGACUACCUGUAUGAAGGUAAUGUGUUCUGAAUAUAUAACGGUAAAAUAUUUACUGUAGAAGUUUAAAUUUCAAAUUUAAAUGCAUGCUAUAUAUAUAUAUAUAUAUAUCAUAUUU
rnacentral:lncRNA from 1 species